rnacentral:rRNA from 1 species
CACGUAGGGCGCAAGCGUUGUCCGGAAUUAUUGGGCGUAAAGAGCUCGUAGGCGGUCUGUUGCGUCUGCUGUGAAAACCCGGGGCUUAACCCCUGGCUUGCAGUGGAUACGGACAGACUAGAGGUAGGUAGGGGAGAAUGGAAUUCCCGGUGUAGCGGUGAAAUGCGCAGAUAUCGGGAGGAACACCGGUGGCGAAGGCGGUUCUCUGGGCCGUUCCUGACGCUGAGGAGCGAAAGCGUGGGGAGCGAACAGG